UACGAAGGGGGCUAGCGUUGCUCGGAAUUACUGGGCGUAAAGCGCACGUAGGCGGCUUUCUAAGUCGGGGGUGAAAUCCUGGAGCUCAACUCCAGAACUGCCUUCGAUACUGGAAAGCUCGAGUCCGGGAGAGGUGAGUGGAACUCCUAGUGUAGAGGUGGAAUUCGUAGAUAUUAGGAAGAACACCAGUGGCGAAGGCGGCUCACUGGUCCGGUACUGACGCUGAGGUGCGAAAGCGUGGGGAGCAAACAGGG
rnacentral:rRNA from 1 species